ensembl:lncRNA
ACAACACCGGGCAGAAUGUGAACGCACUUCGGUUAGAAAGCUGGACUCUACCGAGGUCUACUGCCGUCACGUGACAGAAUAAUUCGACUUAGCUGGUUCUGGUUCCGACAGAAAACUCGGACAGAAAACCACGAAGAAGAAGAGGAGGAGGAGGAGAAGGAGGGGGAGGUUUUCCUAGCUGGAAACUUGGAUGCCAACACGGUAACUCCCAUGUUCCUCCUCCUCCUGCUCCUCCGGGUCCUGGAGCCCCGAACCCGGCCCCGGAGCUCUUCUUACCUUUGAAGGUGUCCGCCCGCGCGCCCAUUAGUCCCAGCGAGAGCAUAAGGAGAGCUGCGCGCAGCACCAAACUUCCAGCGAGCUCCAUGUUCACAGCGGAGCCUCCGCGCGGAGGAAACUACUUUCAACUCUGACCCACUCCUCCGCCUCCUCCUGCUCCUUUUCUUCUUCUUUUCCUGUUGUUUCCUGUCCGAACCUGGCACGCGCAGACAGACCACUGAGUCCACAGAUGUCAAGCUCAGAAGGAGAGAGUUCCAGAGUCUGGGGGCAACUGUGGCAAAAACUCUGGGUCCCAAUACAGGAUCUUGUGGUACACCAUAGCUCUCACGUCUGUGUAAACAAAGUCUUGUAAAAAGACCCUUCAGUUCACAUACAGAACCAAC